rnacentral:sRNA from 1 species
GAAAAAGGCUGAAAUAGGCGAUCUCAAGAAUUC